GACGAACGCUGGCGGCGUGCCUAAUACAUGCAAGUAGAACGCUGAAGGAGGAGCUUGCUUCUUUGGAUGAGUUGCGAACGGGUGAGUAACGCGUAGGUAACCUGCCUGGUAGCGGGGGAUAACUAUUGGAAACGAUAGCUAAUACCGCAUAAUAGUAGAUGUCGCAUGACAUUUGCUUAAAAGGUGCAAUUGCAUCACUACCAGAUGGACCUGCGUUGUAUUAGCUAGUUGGUGAGGUAACGGCUCACCAAGGCAACGAUACAUAGCCGACCUGAGAGGGGGAUCGGCCACACUGGGACUGAGACACGGCCCAGACUCCUACGGGAGGCAGCAGUAGGGAAUCUUCGGCAAUGGACGGAAGUCUGACCGAGCAACGCCGCGUGAGUGAAGAAGGUUUUCGGAUCGUAAAGCUCUGUUGUAAGAGAAGAACGAGUGUGAGAGUGGAAAGUUCACACUGUGACGGUAUCUUACCAGAAAGGGACGGCUAACUACGUG
rnacentral:rRNA from 1 species